UGGCUCAGAUUGAACGCUGGCGGCAUGCCUUACACAUGCAAGUCGAACGGCAGCGGACCUUCGGGUGCCGGCGAGUGGCGAACGGGUGAGUAAUAUAUCGGAACGUACCUUUCAGUGGGGGAUAACGUAGCGAAAGUUACGCUAAUACCGCAUAUUCUGUGAGCAGGUAAGCAGGGGAUCGCAAGACCUUGCGCUGAUUGAGCGGCCGAUAUCAGAUUAGCUAGUUGGUGAGGUAAAGGCUCACCAAGGCGACGAUCUGUAGCGGGUCUGAGAGGAUGAUCCGCCACACUGGAACUGAGACACGGUCCAGACUCCUACGGGAGGCAGCAGUGGGGAAUUUUGGACAAUGGGCGCAAGCCUGAUCCAGCCAUGCCGCGUGAGUGAAGAAGGCCUUCGGGUUGUAAAGCUCUUUCGGCCGGGAAGAAAUCGCACAGGUUAAUACCCUGUGUGGAUGACGGUACCGGAAUAAGAAGCACCGGCUAACUACGUG
rnacentral:rRNA from 1 species